rnacentral:rRNA from 1 species
AGUGCAUGUGGUGGAUGCCUUGGCAGUCAGAGGCGAUGAAAGACGUGAUAGCCUGCGAAAAGCUCCGGGGAGGCGGCAAAUAUCCUUUGAUCCGGAGAUGUCUGAAUGGGGGAACCCACCUACUUUAAGGUAGGUAUUGCAACAUGAAUACAUAGUGUUGCAAGGCGAACGAGGGGAAGUGAAACAUCUCAGUACCCUUAGGAAAAGAAAUCAAUUGAGAUUCCCUCAGUAGCGGCGAGCGAACGGGGAUCAGCCCAUUAAGUUAUGUGUGUUUUAGUGGAACGCUCUGGGAAGUGCGAACGUAGAGGGGGAUAUUCCCGUACACGAAAGGGCACACAUAAUGAUGACGAGUAGGGCGAGGCACGUGAAACCUUGUCUGAAUAUGGGGGGACCAUCCUCCAAGGCUAAAUACUCCUGACUGACCGAUAGUGAACCAGUACCGUGAGGGAAAGGCGAAAAGAACCCCUGUGAGGGGAGUGAAAUAGAUCCUGAAACCGCAUGCAUACAAGCAGUGGGAGCACCUUCGUGGUGUGACUGCGUACCUUUUGUAUAAUGGGUCAGCGACUUAUAUUCAGUAGCGAGGUUAACCGUAUAGGGGAGCCGUAGAGAAAUCGAGUCUUAAUAGGGCGUUUAGUUGCUGGGUAUAGACCCGAAACCAGGCGAUCUAUCCAUGAGCAGGUUGAAGGUUGGGUAACACUAACUGGAGGACCGAACCCACUGUCGUUGAAAAGCCAGGGGAUGACUUGUGGAUAGGGGUGAAAGGCUAAUCAAGCCUGGUGAUAGCUGGUUCUCCCCGAAAGCUAUUUAGGUAGCGCCUCGGACGAAUACCAUAGGGGGUAGAGCACUGUUUCGGCUAGGGGGUCAUCCCGACUUACCAAACCGAUGCAAACUCCGAAUACCUAUGAGUACUAUCCGGGAGACAGACUGCGGGUGCUAACGUCCGUAGUCAAGAGGAAAACAAUCCAGACCGCCAGCUAAGGCCCCAAAAUCAUAGUUAAGUGGGAAACGAUGUGGGAAGGCAUAGACAGCUAGGAGGUUGGCUUAGAAGCAGCCACCCUUUAAAGAAAGCGUAAUAGCUCACUAGUCGAGUCGGCCUGCGCGGAAGAUGUAACGGGGCUAAAACUAUGUGCCGAAGCUGCGGAUGUAUACUUUGUAUACGUGGUAGGGGAGCGUUCUGUAAGCCGAUGAAGGUGUGUUGAGAAGCAUGCUGGAGGUAUCAGAAGUGCGAAUGCUGACGUGAGUAACGACAAAACGGGUGAAAAACCCGUUCGCCGAAAGACCAAGGGUUCCAGUCCAACGUUAAUCGGGGCUGGGUGAGUCGACCCCUAAGGCGAGGCCGAAAGGCGUAGUCGAUGGGAAAAUGGUUAAUAUUCCAUUACUUCUGUGUAAUGCGAUGAGAGGACGGAGAAGGCUAAAUCAGCCUGGCGUUGGUUGUCCAGGUGAAAGGAUGUAGGCAUGUAUCUUAGGCAAAUCCGGGGUACUCUAUGCUGAGAUCUGAUAGCAAGCUGUACUUGUACAGCGAAGUGGUUGAUGCCAUGCUUCCAGGAAAAGUCUCUAAGCUUCAGUUACACAGGAAUCGUACCCGAAACCGACACAGGUGGUCAGGUCGAGUAGACCAAGGCGCUUGAGAGAACUCUGCUGAAGGAACUAGGCAAAAUGGUACCGUAACUUCGGGAGAAGGUACGCUGUUGUUGGUGAUGGAACUCGCUUCCUGAGCUGACGACAGCCGCAGAAACCAGGCCGCUGCAACUGUUUAUUAAAAACAUAGCACUCUGCAAACACGAAAGUGGACGUAUAGGGUGUGAUGCCUGCCCGGUGCUGGAAGGUUAAUUGAUGGGGUUAGCGUAAGCGAAGCUCUUGAUCGAAGCCCCAGUAAACGGCGGCCGUAACUAUAACGGUCCUAAGGUAGCGAAAUUCCUUGUCGGGUAAGUUCCGACCUGCACGAAUGGCAUAAUGAUGGCGGCGCUGUCUCCAGCAGAGGCUCAGUGAAAUCGAAAUCGCUGUGAAGAUGCAGUGUACCCGCGGCUAGACGGAAAGACCCCGUGAACCUUUACUGCAGCUUGACACUGAACUUUGACCUUACUUGUGUAGGAUAGGUGGGAGGCUUUGAAGCUGGAACGCUAGUUCCAGUGGAGCCGUCCUUGAAAUACCACCCUGGUAAUGUUGAGGUUCUAACUCUGUCCCGUGAUCCGGGACGAGGACCGUGUCUGGUGGGUAGUUUGACUGGGGCGGUCUCCUCCUAAAGAGUAACGGAGGAG